GAUGAACGCUGGCGGCGUGCCUAAUACAUGCAAGUCGAGCGAACAGACGAGGAGCUUGCUCCUUUGACGUUAGCGGCGGACGGGUGAGUAACACGUAGGUAACCUACCUAUAAGACUGGGAUAACUUCGGGAAACCGGAGCUAAUACCGGAUAAUAUUUCGAACCGCAUGGUUCGAUAGUGAAAGAUGGCUUUGCUAUCACUUAUAGAUGGACCUGCGCCGUAUUAGCUAGGUGGUAAGGUAACGGCUUACCAAGGCAACGAUACGUAGCCGACCUGAGAGGGUGAUCGGCCACACUGGAACUGAGACACGGUCCAGACUCCUACGGGAGGCAGCAGUAGGGAAUCUUCCGCAAUGGGCGAAAGCCUGACGGAGCAACGCCGCGUGAGUGAUGAAGGUCUUCGGAUCGUAAAACUCUGUUAUUAGGGAAGAACAAACGUGUAAGUAACUGUGCACGUCUUGACGGUACCUAAUCAGAAAGCCACGGCUAACUACGUG
rnacentral:rRNA from 1 species